CCCUUUGGGGUGUGACUGCGUACCUUUUGUAUAAUGGGUCAGCGACUUAUAUUCUGUAGCAAGGUUAACCGUAUAGGGGAGCCGGAGGGAAACCGAGUCUUAACCGGGCGUUAAGUUGCAGGGUAUAGACCCGAAACCCGGUGAUCUAGCCAUGGGCAGGUUGAAGGUUGGGUAACACUAACUGGAGGACCGAACCGACUAAUGUUGAAAAAUUAGCGGAUGACCUGUGGCUGGGGGUGAAAGGCCAAUCAAACCGGGAGAUAGCUGGUUCUCCCCGAAAGCUAUUUAGGUAGCGCCUCGUGAAUUCAUCUCCGGGGGUAGAGCACUGUUUCGGCUAGGGGGCCAUCCCGGCUUACCAACCCGAUGCAAACUGCGAAUACCGGAGAAUGUUAUCACGGGAGACACACGGCGGGUGCUAACGUCCGUCGUGAAGAGGGAAACAACCCAGACCGCCAGCUAAGGUCCCAAAGUCAUGGUUAAGUGGGAAACGAUGUGGGAAGGCCCAGACAGCCAGGAUGUUGGCUUAGAAGCAGCCAUCAUUUAAAGAAAGCGUAAUAGCUCACUGGUCGAGUCGGCCUGCGCGGAAGAUGUAACGGGGCUAAACCAUGCACCGAAGCUGCGGCAGCGAACGUAUCACUUAAAGCGAUUCAGCGGGUUACGAUUGACGGAGCGAAGCGACGUCAAAGCGUAUACAAAGUCGAGUCGGUUUAAGGAUACGUUCGUUGGGUAGGGGAGCGUUCUGUAAGCCUGUGAAGGUGGCCUGUGAGGGUUGCUGGAGGUAUCAGAAGUGCGAAUGCUGACAUAAGUAACGAUAAAGCGGGUGAAAAGCCCGCUCGCCGGAAGACCAAGGGUUCCUGUCCAACGUUAAUCGGGGCAGGGUGAGUCGACCCCUAAGGCGAGGCCGAAAGGCGUAGUCGAUGGGAAACGGGUUAAUAUUCCCGUACUUGGUGUUACUGCGAAGGGGGGACGGAGAAGGCUAUGUUGGCCGGGCGACGGUUGUCCCGGUUUAAGCGUGUAGGUGUGUGUUCCAGGUAAAUCCGGUUCACUUUAACACUGAGGCGUGACGACGAGGCACUACGGUGCUGAAGCAACAAAUGCCCUGCUUCCAGGAAAAGCCUCUAAGCAUCAGGUAACAUCAAAUCGUACCCCAAACCGACACAGGUGGUCAGGUAGAGAAUACCAAGGCGCUUGAGAGAACUCGGGUGAAGGAACUAGGCAAAAUGGUGCCGUAACU
rnacentral:rRNA from 1 species